ACAUUUCCCAGCUCCAACUAAACCAACAAGUAAGCCCAAAGAAGCCAAACCUAAAAAAGAGUGUCAAAAAAACCGGCACAAAAAGAGAAAUAACCCGCUAAUGCGGAAGAACUGGUAUCAAAAAAACAUACUCAGCUGGUAUUAGAAGCCAAAAAAGAAGAGUCCUUAUCGGACUGGUACUCACAAGUGAUUACCAAAGGCGAGUUGAUCGAAUACUACGACGUUUUUGGUUGGUAUAUCCUCAGGCCGUGGUCGUUCGCCAUCUGGAAAGUGAUACGGAACUAAUUCGAUGCGGAAAUCACGAAACUCGGUGUUAAGCAGUGUUUUUUCCCGAUUUUUAUGUCUAAAGCGAUGCUGGAGAGAGAGAAGGAUCAUAUUACUGAUUUUUCACCCGAAGUUGCAUGGGUAACUAAAUCCGGUGAUUCCGAUUUGGCGGAACCAAUUGCUGUUCGUCCCGCGUCCGAAACUGUUAUGUAUCUUGUUUAGGCCAAGAGGAUUCAGUCGUAUCGUGAUCUGCCCAUUAGAUUAAGCCACUGUUAUAUUAAAAUAAU